AUGCGUUGUUGGGUAGGGGAGCGUUCUGUAAGCCUGUGAAGGUGUGCUGUGAGGCAUGCUGGAGGUAUCAGAAGUGCGAAUGCUGACAUAAGUAACGAUAAAGCGGGUGAAAAGCCCGCUCGCCGGAAGACCAAGGGUUCCUGUCCAACGUUAAUCGGGGCAGGGUGAGUCGACCCCUAAGGCGAGGCCGAAAGGCGUAGUCGAUGGGAAACAGGUUAAUAUUCCUGUACUUGGUGUUACUGCGAAGGGGGGACGGAGAAGGCUAUGUUGGCCGGGCGACGGUUGUCCCGGUUUAAGCGUGUAGGCUGGUUUUCCAGGCAAAUCCGGAAAAUCAAGGCUGAGGCGUGAUGACGAGGCACUACGGUGCUGAAGCAACAAAUGCCCUGCUUCCAGGAAAAGCCUCUAAGCAUCAGGUAACAUCAAAUCGUACCCCAAACCGACACAGGUGGUCAGGUAGAGAAUACCAAGGCGCUUGAGAGAACUCGGGUGAAGGAACUAGGCAAAAUGGUGCCGUAACUUCGGGAGAAGGCACGCUGAUAUG
rnacentral:rRNA from 1 species